UACGUAGGGGGCAAGCGUUUGUCCGGAUUUAUUGGGCGUAAAGAGCGUGUAGGCGGCCAGGUAGGUCCGCUGUGAAAGUCCAGGGCUCAACCCUGGGAUGCCGGUGGAUACUGUCGGGCUCGAGUCCGGAAGAGGCGAGUGGAAUUCCUGGUGUAGCGGUGAAAUGCGUAGAUAUCGGGAGGAACACCAGUGGCGAAGGCGAUCACCUGGGGUUGUUCUGACGCUGAGGAGCGAAAGCUAGGGGAGCAAACGGG
rnacentral:rRNA from 1 species